rnacentral:rRNA from 1 species
CGUGUAGGCGGUUGGUCAAGUCUGGUGUGAAAGCCCGGGGCUUAACCCCGGAAGUGCACUGGAAACUAGCCAGCUAGAGCGCGAGAGAGGAGGGUGGAAUUCCUGGUGUAGCGGUGAAAUGCGUAGAUAUCAGGAGGAACACCGGCGGCGAAGGCGGCCCUCUGGCUCGUUGCUGACGCUGAAACGCGAAAGCGUGGGGAGCAAACAGGAUUAGAUACCCUGGUAGUCCACGCUGUAAACGAUAGGUACUAGGUGUUCGGGGUAUUGACCCCCUGAGUGCCGACGCUAACGCAUUAAGUACCCCGCCUGGGGACUACGGCCGCAAGGUUAAA